AGCAUUGUUUUUUUUUUCCAUAUCCUUGCCAGCGUUUGUUGUUUAUCUGGAUUGUAUUUUAUAUAUAUAUAUAUAUAUAUAUAUAUAAAACAAACGCUGGCAAGGAUAUGGAAAAAAAAACAAUGCU
rnacentral:miRNA from 1 species